rnacentral:rRNA from 1 species
UACGUAGGGGGCAAGCGUUUGUCCGGAUUAUUGGGCGUAAAGAGCGUGUAGGCGGCUGGGUAGGUCCGCUGUGAAAACUCGAGGCUUAACCUCGAGACGUCGGUGGAAACCAUCCAGCUAGAGUCCGGAAGAGGAGAGUGGAAUUCCUGGUGUAGCGGUGAAAUGCGCAGAUAUCAGGAAGAACACCCGUGGCGAAAGCGGCUCUCUGGGACGGUACUGACGCUGAGACGCGAAAGCGUGGGGAGCGAACAGG